GACGAGCGCUGGCGGCGUGCUUAACACAUGCAAGUCGAACGGAAAGGCCCUGCUUUUGUGGGGUGCUCGAGUGGCGAACGGGUGAGUAACACGUGAGUAACCUGCCCUUGACUUUGGGAUAACUUCAGGAAACUGGGGCUAAUACCGGAUAGGAGCUCCUGCUGCAUGGUGGGGGUUGGAAAGUUUCGGCGGUUGGGGAUGGACUCGCGGCUUAUCAGCUUGUUGGUGGGGUAGUGGCUUACCAAGGCUUUGACGGGUAGCCGGCCUGAGAGGGUGACCGGCCACAUUGGGACUGAGAUACGGCCCAGACUCCUACGGGAGGCAGCAGUGGGGAAUAUUGCACAAUGGGCGGAAGCCCGAUGCAGCAACGCCGCGUGCGGGAUGACGGCCUUCGGGUUGUAAACCGCUUUCGCCUGUGACGAAGCGUGAGUGACGGUAAUGGGUAAAGAAGCACCGGCUAACUACGUG
rnacentral:rRNA from 1 species